UGUGGACUUCUCUUGCAAGUGCUCGUUUCCGGCGAUCAGGCGAUGAGGGGAUUGGCCGCAACACUCUUAAUUGUUAAUGGAAUGAAAUUUCCUCAUCACUUAACUCAGGUCUUAACUAAUUAUGAUGCAAUGCAUGGUUAUUAAAAUGGUAGGAAUGUAACACUAGAUUUUAAAAGUUUAUCCAAUCCCUUAUUAACCAUCAGUUGGAGCGCCAUGGUGCCAAAGACUUGGUUAUGAUUCGCUUAGGG
rnacentral:lncRNA from 1 species